rnacentral:rRNA from 1 species
UACGGGGGGGGCAAGCGUUGUUCGGAAUUACUGGGCGUAAAGGGCUCGUAGGUGGCCAACUAAGUCAGACGUGAAAUCCCUCGGCUUAACCGGGGAACUGCGUCUGAUACUGGAUGGCUUGAGUUCGGGAGAGGGAUGCGGAAUUCCAGGUGUAGCGGUGAAAUGCGUAGAUAUCUGGAGGAACACCGGUGGCGAAGGCGGCAUCCUGGACCGACACUGACACUGAGGAGCGAAAGCCAGGGGGGCAAACGGG